rnacentral:rRNA from 1 species
AUGGGCCCUCAACACCCAUCAAUGCAUGGUGUUCUUCGACUGAUCGUUACUCUCGAUGGUGAGGAUGUUAUUGAUUGUGAACCCAUAUUAGGCUAUCUACACAGAGGAAUGGAAAAAAUCGCGGAAAACCGAACUAUUAUACAAUACUUACCUUAUGUAACAAGGAUAUAG